rnacentral:rRNA from 1 species
AGUGAACGCUGGCGGUAGGCCUAACACAUGCAAGUCGAACGGCAGCACAGUAAGAGCUUGCUCUUACGGGUGGCGAGUGGCGGACGGGUGAGGAAUACAUCGGAAUCUACUUUUUCGUGGGGGAUAACGUAGGGAAACUUACUCUAAUACCGCAUACGACCUACGGGUGAAAGCAGGGGAUCUUCGGACCUUGCGCGAUUGAAUGAGCCGAUGUCGGAUUAGCUAGUUGGCGGGGUAAAGGCCCACCAAGGCGACGAUCCGUAGCUGGUCUGAGAGGAUGAUAAGCCACACUGGAACUGAGACACGGUCCAGACUCCUACGGGAGGCAGCAGUGGGGAAUAUUGGACAAUGGGCGCAAGCCUGAUCCAGCCAUACCGCGUGGGUGAAGAAGGCCUUCGGGUUGUAAAGCCCUUUUGUUGGGAAAGAAAAGCAGCAGGUUGAUACCCCGCUGUUCUGACGGUACCCAAAGAAUAAGCACCGGCUAACUUCGUG